rnacentral:rRNA from 1 species
GACGAACGCUGGCGGCGUGCUUAACACAUGCAAGUCGAACGGAAAGGCCCCCUUGUGGGGUACUCGAGUGGCGAACGGGUGAGUAACACGGGAGUAACCUACCCUUGACUUUGGGAUAACUUCAGGAAACUGGGGCUAAUACCGGAUAGGAGCUCCUGCUGCAUGGUGGGGGUUGGAAAGUUUCGGCGGUUGGGGAUGGACUCGCGGCUUAUCAGCUUGUUGGUGGUGUAGUGGCUCACCAAGGCUUUGACGGGUAGCCGGCCUGAGAGGGUGACCGGCCACAUUGGGACUGAGAUACGGCCCAGACUCCUACGGGAGGCAGCAGUGGGGAAUAUUGCACAAUGGGCGGAAGCCUGAUGCAGCAACGCCGCGUGCGGGAUGACGCCCUUCGGUUUGUAAACCGCUUUCGCCUGUGACGAAGCGUGAGUGACGGUACUGGGUCAAGAAGCCCCGGCUAACUACGUG